UUAUUUUUCCGUUAUAUAUGAUUAACUGCACAGGUUUUUUUCUUUUGCAGAGAAGGGUGUGAAAGCCAAAACAGCAAGGACUCUUCUUUGAAAUUUCUCAACAGGUAACAAAUUCUUCUUUCAUAAAUUUCAACAAAAAGGUAGUAAAAACAACCAUGACCGGAAAAAAACAUACAUUUGGCUAGCGGUGGACAUGUGGGGAGAAGUCAGGUGUCUUCAAUUUUUUAUAAAAAAAAAAAGAAAUCACUGGAUAGAUAUAAAAAAGAAGAGAGGCUUACUAGUAUUUAGAAGAAAUUGGGAGAAACGCGGUAUUAAAAACAACCAUGACCACAAAAAGCAUACAUUUGGCUAGAUGAGGACAUGUGGGGAGAAGUCAAGUGUCUUCAACUUUUUAUUAAAAAAACAGAAAAUCACUGGAUAGAUAUAAAAAAGAAGAGAGGCUUCCGGGUAUUUAGAAGAAAUUGGGAGAAAUUAUAGAGAUGAAGGAGCCUAGCGGAUGGAUGAGACGGAGAAAGAAAAAGUACCGGUAGAAGUUUGAGAGAGUACAAUAUGUGCGAAGCUGGGCUUUCAGUGUUCUUAUGGAGGAACCAUACUAGAAAGAGAAUUGAAAGGCCUUCAAAAAAGAGCAAGGUAGUCCAACGUUGCCGUCGUCUCUAAGUACCGAUCUAGGUUUUUGAUUCUUUUCUUUUUGCUAUGGCGCUUAAGUUUCCCCCUUCUAUUUUUUUUAGUUGUGUUAUUUUCUUUAGUUGUAAAAUAAUAGGUAUAUAUUAAAGCUUUUAUUUUCUUGGAAGUAAAUUAUGAAUAAAAAAUUUAAAUAUUAAGAUUAUAACUAUAAAAUUUGUAGAACUUUCAAAGCUAACUUAUGUAAUUUCAAAUUUUUAAUUAUGACCAUCUCUGUCAAU
rnacentral:lncRNA from 1 species